UACUACUAUCCUGACUUCUCACCCAAUAAACUCUCCCUCCCACUACUCCGCUGACACCGCCGAUCAUCGUAACAGGACCUCGAAUCGAGAGCCAGAAUUUGAUAACUGGAAAUUGAAAUUCAAAAGAAAAUGGGGUGGACCGUUGAGUAUUGGGGAUGACGAGUAGAGAGAGAAAUUUAUCGAGCUCUUCGUGGUGGUGGUUCGCAGAAGGGGAUUGUGUAUGCGCCAGCUCAGAUAAUGCGAAUUUUUAGGACAUUCAUUUGACAAAAUUACACACACAUCCCUCAAGAUUUUAGAUUAUUACAUCACAACCCCUGAUAUUCAAACAAUUACACGAUGACCUCCGCUUAAGAAGGAGUAAAAAUAAUUUGCAAUCAACAAAUUUCACCCUUUUGUUAGCUAAUAAUUGUAUGGUUUCCUCAUUUCUUCAUUUUUUCAACGAAAAAUAAACUGAAUUAUUACUUUUCCUCGAUCUUCCUCAUUGCAAUAUGAUUAAAGAAAUUUAGGAUUGCCACGGACUCAUUCUUCUAGUUUGUUAUAUUUAGCCCUUUUGACAAUCGUCAAAAUAAAAUAAAUAAAUACAUAAUUCAAACUUAUUUUCAACUACACAUUUUUAUAAUAAAAUAUUUUGCAGACAAACAAAAAAAUAUUUCUUACUUUUUAACCAUACAUUUUCCAAAAAAAAAAAAUCAUUAUUCCAAAACUCAUUUACCAUAAAAAAAUAAAAACUCAUUUUAAUUGUUGUCAAACGGGUCUUAGAUAGGUAACGAGAAAUGUCAAUAUUAUUUCAUUGUAGACUCUCGUACCAUAAAGUUACGAAACGAAUGUUGACAACAUUGCGCAAAUAUGAAAAUUAGUCUAAUGCUAUGCAAAAUGAAUGUUGUGUCUACUUAGGAUGUAUUUGAACUCCAUUUUCGUUGAAAAUAUAUUUUGAUAUAGUGAAUUUUUUGGCAGAAUAUAUGAUUAAAAAGUAAGAAUUUUUUUUCAUUUACAUGUAUAAUAUUUUAUUGUGAAAAUAUAUCGAAAAUGAGUUUUUGGAUAAUGGGAUCAAAAAGGUUUAUUCAAACUUCCUCACAAUCCAAAAAAAAUACACAAUUCAAAAGUGUUCUAUAUAGUAAAUGCAAGAAAUACCAGAGAAAUUCAAGAAUUAUUCUUGACAAUCUUUUUUUCUUAAAUGAGAAACCAAGGGUAACGGUAAGGAUGACUUAUUUGUCAACUUUUUUUCGGGGACUUUCUUAAAGAUGAAUCCCAUGUAAAUACCUUGAAAUAAGGUUUGUUUCUAUUUGAGAAGAUCCUAAGGAAAAAGGAUUUUGUUUCUACUGAGCUAAAAAACCAGCUGCCUUCAUGAGCAAAUCAAAAUAAAAUGACCUCGAAUCUAUUAAAUGUUUCAAACUUUGAUUUGAUAUUUACAGCACCAUAUUGAGUUUGGAGGUGUUGAAGAUAUCAAAAUAUUGGUACUUAGUGAUUUGAUGAGUUAAUAUAGUAGUUUUUUUUAUUGUUCUAUGCAUUAAAUCAUUAAUCGUCACAUGUAUGCAACAUAUGACUAUUAAGAUAGUGAGUUACUGCAAAUAGCAUUAUUCAAUUAAAAUAAAAUGAAGUAAGUUAAUUUUAUCUAUACCAUCAAUAUGUAAACGUACACAAUUAUUUACAAGUAGCAUUAUUCUUUAUUAGACAAUCUUCCUUUUUUAGAGCUAGAUUGAAAUUCUAUAUUACGGUUUUCUAGUAAGAGCUACACAAAGUUUUAUACUCAAUUUCUAAUUCUAACAAUAAUACCGUGCAGCUAGAUCAUUUUUGGAAGACGAGAAGAGUAACGAGAAUCCUUACAGGUAAUCGAAACAGGGUUCUCCAGGAAAAUCAAUAACUAACCAAAACCACAACAAUAUUUGUUUCAGCGAGGAGGGGAUUCAUAUGGUUAUGGUACAAACACCUGUCGCCACCAUGAAAAUAAACGAGGAGUGGAAGUUUCCGGCCGGGAUUGGCAGUUCCGGCCAGCAGGUAGAGUGGAGCAGAUGUAGCAAAAUCCGGUGAAAUCUUGACGACUUCGGAUUGAACCUCAGUUUCUAAAUUUGUUGAUGCAGGAACAAUAUGUGUUCCAGCACUUCUUCCGACAAUUGUCAUUUAAUGUUCGUUUCAAUGUGGAAAAAUGAUGGAGUAUUUCAGUUAAAUUUGUAACCAUUGGUAUUGAAAACCAAAGGAAAAUGGUUUUUGGACUCGUAAGCAAUGUCUAGCAUCAGUCGGAUCGGUCAAAUAUUUCAAUACUCGAAGUCACUCGAGUAUUUCAUAAACGGGACCGUUCUAGUUUACAUAAUUACUGAAUCCGAACCCAAAUUGAAAUCGAAUAUUUUUUUAUAAAACCUUGAGCUAACAACACAAAUAAAUUCAAUAUCUAGAAGAAAUAAAAUAUAUCAUCAAAUACAUAUUUCAACACUAUUUUAUCCACUCCAAAAAGGCCACCAUAUGCAUCCAACAUCUAGCAUAAUAGCAUCCAAGUUCGACUUUGAUUGUGUAUGAUGUCUUGAAGAAUUAAUUGUGGGGCGUACAACCUAUAAAGUGAGAUAAAGAGUGGCUACGAAUAACGGUGGUGUGAUUCAUUAUUCAAAUGAAUGCAUAUUAUUGUUCUUUCUACUUGAGUCUUAUAAACUUGCUACACAUUAGGCUUAGUAAUUGUGUCGUGGGUGUAAGACAUAAAAUGAAGACGAAAGAAGAACUGUCAAAUAUGCAAGUUUGGACGCUCUGACGCUCAAGUUAGAAAACAAGUGCAAAACCUAUAUGCUUAGAGUGGUCUAAGAAGUGAGUUUUCUAAAAUUGAUUCCCAACCUCACUUUGUUUUGAUUGAAUAUGUUUAUUUUACUCAUAGACUAACUUAUUCAUAUAUUCACACAUUCCAAUCAACAAAUUCAUACAUGUUACAUACUAUAAAGAGAUACCAGUGAAAUUCAAGAAUUACUCUUUAACAAUUUCUUUUAAAAUUUCCGUUCAACACCAAAUUAUUACAAGCUACGGAACUAGCAGCCCAUACGAGCACCUCGAGCUAUUGCUCCGCAAAUAAGACAUACACAAUAUAUGAAGCAACUUGUCGCAAAUAAGACAUACACAAUAUAACACGACUUGACAAUACAACAGACGAGAGUUUUAGCUUCUUUUUUCUUCUCUCAAUAUUACGACUACUGAUUAAUGAAAGAAGCCACUCUUUUCAGCAUAGCCUUGCCAUUUUCACUGUUAGGGAAAAGCACACUAAAUACAUGGUUCUCCCCUUUUACAUCUACAAUAUCUACCUCUCCAUUCCACCCACAUUUCUUCAAUGCUUCCUUGUAAUGAUAACCUCGUUCCUUAAGAAUAUCUUCUUCUGCAACAUAAAUAAGCACUUUUUUGCACCCCAGUUUUGAAAGAUUCAAAUCCAUGGAAGGAUUUAUCAAAGGGUCAUCUAAACCUGUAGCGCUUGGAAAAGAAAAAGCCCAAAAAUUAUCAACAUAACUCUUCUUAAAUACUAAGGAUGUCCCUUCGUUCCCAAUUGAAUCUUUACCCCAAAAAAAUGGACAGUUGAGAAAAAUUCCAUCUAGAUUGAUCCCAGGCAACUUCUCUUGACCAAAUCUUAUGGCCAUGUUGUGAGCUAUGUUGGCUCCAGCACUGUCUCCACCAAAGUAAACAUGAUUAAAAUCAGCAUUUUCUUGAAUCCAAUGCUCAUGUCCAUCACCUGUGGAUUCAGAUGCCACACAUUUUAGUUGAAGCCAAGAAUCUUGAUAAGCAUGAGACAAUAUAAAGAAUCUUUUACGGACUGCUUUGAGGGAUUAUGAAUUGAUCAAUUAUGAGUGAUUUUAGUAGCGAUUUUUAGUAAAGUUUAAUCUACGAUUAGGAGUUUAUUAUCCACUUGUUGUAGAAACUUUUUAAAUGAAUAAAAUUAAUAUAUGUCCAUUAUUGAAAUUUUAGAUUUAUAAUUUCUUGUAUGAAAUUUUUUCACUAAUAAGUGAUUCUACUUGUAUAUGUAUUUUUUUACAUAUAAGCUAAUAUUUAAUUUAAAAAGUUAUAUAUUUAAUUAAAAAUUUUUACUUUUAAGUAAACUUUAUAAUUAUAAGUUAAUUUGUACUUCUAAAUAAUUUUGCUCAUAAGUGAAUUUUUACCUAUAAGUAACUUCUUAUAUUUAUAAUUGAAUUUUUUUCUUAUUAAUAAUAUUUUUAUUUCAUAAACAACUUUUUUACGCAAAAGUAAUUUUUCUUAUCUAUUUUAUUUAUAGGUAAUUUUUUUAAUUAUAAUUUUUUUUUUUGCUCAUAAAUAAUUUUUGUUAGUACAUUUUAGUUUUGAACAAAAAUAUGUUUAUUGAAAAUAAAAUGACAAAAUUAGAAAAAUAUAAGGAACCUUAAAAAAAAACCAACCGAUUUUAUGGGUCAAGAGAAUCGAUCAAAAUUACACAAUACCGAUCUAAAAUCGGUGCCAAAAAAAUGAAUCCGAUCCUCCCCUAGAUAGGAUUUGUUGUGGACUCAAUUUUAAUAAAUAAAUUUGCUUUUUUUCUAAACUUUUAAUAUAUUAUACUCACCCGUGGACUGAGAUGCCACCCACUUCAGUGCAAGCCAAGAAUCUUCAUAAGCAAUCGGAACGGGGUGCUCGGGGGCUAAUCGAUAGCCCACAGAAACUGCGACAACAUUGGCUUCGGCGACGAGUGAAUUUAGGUGGUUUUGGUACGUAGAAGAGGAGGGUGAUUCCGCCACAAAGCCACCACCGUGAAAAUAGACAAGAAGUGGAAGUUUCUGGCCGGGAUCGAUGUUUCCCGGCAGGUAAAGCCUAGCAGAUACAUCAUGUUCCGGUGAAAUCACGACGUCUUUGGACCGAACCCCAGUUUCUGAAUCUACUGAUGCAGGAACAAUAUCUAUUCCUACAAAUCUUUCGACUUUUCCGUCUUUGUAUACUCGGAUCAUUGGAUGAAAAUCGUGAAGAAUUUCUGUUGAAUUUGCAGCCAUUGCUAAGCAAGAUAAGGAAUUUAAGAGUGAAAGAAUUAUUGGAGGAAAAAUCUAUGCCUAUGUGCAUCAAAAUUUGGACUUAAAAAUGUGCCCGGUAUUGACGGCUUACUUUGAAUUAAGCGACGGUGAAAUGUAGGAGUAAUUUUUUAAUUAAAAAUCUUUCAGAUAACACAUGGCGCGAUAUCAUCGAAAUAUGGAAGAAAAGAAAAAAAAUAUUUCACUUACAUUUUGUCUUGUCAAUUUCAUUGCAAGUUGUGUUAAAUUUUUCAGUACUUAUCGCUUUAUUGUGAAAUGUACAGACAAUAUUACAGAUAAUGAAUUGACAAUACUGUAUUAAUUAGUUUAAUUAUAUUUUUUGUCCAACAUCGAAUGAAAUUUUAACAGUUGACGAUCCGUCAAAAAAAAUGUCAAAUAUUUCUGUAUACGUAGUCGCAUUUCUGGCUUGUUCUUGUCUUUCUAGGAGCAUUCUUCAAUAAGCUCACUAAUUCCUGUUUGAACCAAACUUCAUCCAAUAAAAUAAUUUCACAUAAAUUCAAAAAAAAAAAUUUACUUUUUAAUCAUGCAUCCUUUAAAAAAUCAUUAUUAGAAAAUCUAUUUCCCCAAAAAAUAAGGUUCAAGCAUAGCCUUAAUAAAUGUAUAUUUUUUAAAAAUAUAUAAAAAUAAUAAUAAAUUUGUAGAGACGAUAGGUUAUUUGGAUGGUGUGGAUUUUCAAUUGAAGGAGAAAUUGAAUUACUUUUAUUUCCCGUAUAUUAAGUGUUUUCAGUGAUAACAUUAAAAAUAUAUAAAAUAUGUAUUGAAUUUUAUGUUGUUUUAAAAAAUACUAAACAAAACAAAUUUUAAUAUUUUAUAAAACAGAAAACAACUUGAAAUUAUCCGUCCCAGAAUUGCCUUCCCCUGCCCCAAGUUGUAACAGGGCAAGGACGGAAAACAUGGUCUCCAUUCUAAAUAUUUUUAUUUACUUUUAUAAUUCUAAAUUUAAAUUGUAUUUUAAAAAAUUGAAAUUAUAUUAAAAUUUUGAAACGGGGUGUGUGUUAUUUAUUGUGAAUUGUAUUAGAUUCAUGUUAAAAGUUAUAUUUGACCAUCGAUAUUUAAGCAUGUAAAGUUGAUGUGUGAAAGUGAUUCUAUACAAUGAAAUUAUUGUAUCGGCUUAUGUCAAUUGAGACCUACAUGACAUGCAAAAUUGUAACAUAUAUAUUAUAUGACCUUAUUUAUGUGACAUGUGAACUUGUGACUUGUUAAUGUGACCUCAAUAGUUUAUGCUUGACGUCGAGAUCCAACUAAUUGGAUUCUUAAGAACAUGAGUUUCUUUUCUCAUUUAAAAGAGUUAACAUUGUGAUGUUCUUCCUCUCUCACAUUUAUGGUGAAGAAUGUAAUUGAAGUGUUUUUUCUCUUUCACAAUGACGGUGAAGAAGGAAAAUUUCUCUUUACAAAUAAUAUUGAAACGGCAAGAAUCUCAUUUUGUAUAAUUUGAUAUAUAUAUAUAUAUAUAUAUAUAUAUAUAUAUAUAGUAUUAUUGGAUUUUGUACGAAAAUCUGUUAUUUGUUUUUUAUUAUUCCUCAAGAUACACUUUAAAAUAAAAAAAGAGCAUUGCUGAAGAGGCUCUUAUAAUUUCAACCAAACAAUUUAUAUGAUUAAUAAGUACGAGUCACUUAUUAACUAUUCAUUUCAAUUAUCAUAUAAUUUCAUCAACUUAUAAUAAAACUCAAACAAAACAGCGUAAAUAAAUUACUACAUUUUUCAGAUUUUAAUUUUAAUUCAUUUUUAGGAAAUUAAUACUCUGAGGGUUUUAGUUGAGAUAUCAAUAAAAUAGUUGGUGAAUAAAAAACAUCACGAGGGCUUUGCUCAAAUAUUGCUUUGACUAUGUUUAUAUUUUACGUGGAAAUCAAAGUCACCACAACUAAAAAAAAAAAAAAAAAAAUUGGAUUCAUUAUAUUAAUUAAAUAUUAGAGGGUGUUUGGAAGUGAUUUUUCACUCCCUAAAAUUUAAUUUUUUUACCAUUAUUUCACUAAUUCCGCAGUAAAGUUUGAUUUCUUCUCUCACAGGUGACUUCCACUUUUCUCCUAACGGUUAAAAAAUCAAUUCUCAAAAUCGCUCCCAAACGAGGCCUAAAUGUUGGAACUCAUUAGCCAAUAGUUAAUGCUAUGGACAAAAAAAAAAAAAAACCACAUGUACUGGAAAAAUGUCUUAUAGAAGUUUUUCGGAUGCUGUGUUCGCAACAUUUGAUUGGAUCUUCUUCUUUUUUUGCGUUUUUUUAUCAUGAACAAAUGAAAAAUCGUUAACUGGAUAUCUGUAAAAAAAAAAAAAUUGCGAAGUAAAAUCUGUACACCUAGCAUUGUUCGCUUGAUGACCACCUUAAUCAAAAUCACAUUACUUAAUCAAAAUUACAUCACAACUCUGGGGCGUAUAAUUAAUAUUCGGUCGAUCAAAGAUUUCAUUCCAACGACAAUAGAAAGAAGAAUUAAAGAAACAACUGAAAGAAACGUAACAAAAUUUAGAUGUGGCAAAUCAAGAAGGAAAGCUAUAGACACUAUGAUCCAUCACCAUGAAUAAAGAAGAAAAUUUCUACUAUCACUUCGAAAUUACACUUGCCUUUCAAUCCUGCGGUGGAUUUAAGGUCUGUGCCCAGGCCAGCAAAGGCCAAUUCAUUCUUACAAUUUUUUCAUGGAAGAAUACAUAAGUCAAUUCUUAACUAUACUCUAAUUCAAUUUUAAGAGAAAAUAUUUAAAAAUUCAAAACUCAGGCGGUAAUUAAUAAAUAUUGUGUAUAAAAUAAAUUUUAAUAAAUAUACACCUCAAAUAAUGCUUUCAAUUACCAUACUCUCCAAAAAAACAAAUGAUAACAAAUCUGGAAGCAACAAAGACCUUUCUGGAGUAAAUUACCAUCGUCAAAAUAUGAUGGUUUGAAAUCAUCAAAAUAUUGAAGUCACAAUUUGAAAAUUAUCAGAACAUCAAACAAAAAGUGAAUCUACAGAAAAUUCAUCUCGUCAAAAUCUUAGAGAUGUCAAACAGGCUGAGCAGCUAGUUGGCCAGGUCCCUCGACUCAGAAAAACAGGGCUCAUGGGCAGCUUGGGCUCGUAAUUUUACGAGCCCAAGCAUGAGCAGAGUGGUUGGCCCGUUUGGCGAGUCAAACCGGCUCGACUCGCUAAUGGAUGAACCGCUUGUGGGCACGAGUCCACGAGCUUGGCUCUUGGUUCGUCAUGAACAAUGAUCGAAAAUGAUCACUUUUUUGGAAAAAAAAAUGAUUGUUUCGAUCACUGAACUUUUAACUGUGGCUAGAAUGGCCACUAAAUUUUUGGCUUUUUUCUUUAUAAACACCCAUGAACUAACUCAUUUUUUCACACAAUAUCUAUCAACAACUCUCUCUCUCUCUCUCUCUCUCUCUCUCUCUCUCUCUCGCUCUCUUCCACAAUUAUCAACAAUUAUACGAUAUAGAUUCAUUUUUACAAUUCCAUCAUCUUCAAUUUCAAUCAUUCAAUUCUCACACUACAAAUUCACAAUCUUAAGCACAUUAUAGUUCUACCCGUACUCUUUACUCAAGUCUUAGAAGCUAUAUCAUCUAUCUAUACAUUUUUAAUUUCAUCACAACUCACAAAUGGAUCCACACUAAUUUGUUAAGGGCUUGUUUGGUGUCGGAGGCGAAUCACAUGUGACGCCGCAAAAUCAAUAUCAGAAUCAAUUUUCGGUCUAAAUGAAGUACUAAUUCCUAAAAAAUAUUUCAAAUUUGUUUGCACAUAGAAGAAUAAUCCAAUUGAUUCAUAUAACGUUGAUGUUACUGAAGCUGAACAGGAGGAGGAACCUGAAUUAGACAUUUUUUAUGUUAGAGGGAAGCAAAAGGGGGAAAACGGACAAAAUGUUAGGAUCACUUCAAAUUGAUUUCAAUGGGUCGUGUUAUCGAUGGAGUCCUAAGUCCCAGAGUCUACAGUAAUAUAUAAAUACUUUCAACAACAAUUGGCAUGGUAAAAAGGCAUUGGUACCACACACCUCAACUGUCAUUACAAAAAGUGUGCGGUCAAACAUGGACUUCUUGAAGUUGGUCAAACACAAUUGUAAUUUAGUAGUCCAGGAAUCGGUUCUACGACUUCGUCCCUCACCACGUGGAUGUAUUCGGAAGAGAAUGCUCGAACGAAAAUAGUGAAACUUGUUGCUGGUGCUGAGUUGCCUCUACCAAUAGCGAAUAACCAACAUUUCGUCUCGUAUGUAAAAAACCCUUCAACCGAAGUACGUUGGGGUAGGUUGAAACACUCUUUGUUCAGAUACAAUAGAAUAUUUCCUUCAAACAAAACAACAAUUAAUUAUGGAUUUGCAAAACUAUAGGGGUGUUAUAUCAUUAACUUUGGAUAUAUGAGAGAUGAUUAAUAAAAGAGUUUAUAUAACUGCAACUGCACACUACAUAGACUCACUUUGGUGUAUGUAUAAAAAAUUAUUGCUUUUAAAAUUAUUGAAUUCCCUCAUAACCCAACAAUAUAUAUAAUGCUCUUAUGAUCAUUAUUAGAGAUUAUCACUGUGAAAGUAAAAUUCGUUCUUUUACAUUCGACGACGCUAGUGCUAAUAAAGUAGUUAUCGAUAAGUAUUACAGCUUGAUUUUGGUUGUUAUUUGUUUCAUAUUCGUUGUGUAUGCCAUAUUUUAAAUUCAAUUAUGCAAGAUGAUUUGAAACAUAUUAAAGAUGAAAUGCAAAGAAUUAGGAAUAUGCUAAUAUAUAUCACAAUCUCUCCUAAUAAAAAACAAGCAUUAGAGGAAUUUUAUGUCAAAUCUAGGGUGAUGAAUGCUAAAACAUUUGUUAGCAACAUAGAUCAUGGAUAGUACUCCACUCACUUAUUAUUAAAGUCAUGCAAAUAUUUUGAACAUUUAAUAACCGAGUUUUAUAACAAUAGGCAUAUUUGAAACUAUAACGACACUAUUUUGAAUGAAUCCGAUUGACUUUUAGAUUUAAAAGUUAAAAAAAAUUGACAAAUUUUUAUGAUUCUGCAAAUAUUUUAUAUGGAAUUUACUAUUGCACUAAAUGUAUGGUGCUCGAACGUUUUUAUAUAAUUGUAAGGACAUUUCAUAAAUAGAAAAAUGAUCCGAUAUUAGUGCAAUUAUAUAUUUUAUGAAAUUAAAGUUUAGAAAAUUUUGAAAAGACUUACCUAUAUUAUUUCCUUUAACAUGCAUGCAUCAUAGACCCCCCAAUAUAAUUUAUCAGAAACUAAAUAUUUAAUUGAUCAAAUUUCAAGAGCUUAAACUUUUAAUGUACCUAUCAUGUAUAGAAAUUUAGAAUAAACUUUAUAUGAAAUGUAUGAAUUAUAUGCAGAAUGAAUAGGUACAAAUAUUAAUCGAGUAUCCUCUACAUCUACUUCUUCCACUGACAUUAAAAAAAUAACGCUGAAAUAUUAACUUUAUUUGAAAGCAUUAAUACGUAUAGAUAUAAUGCAAAUGCAAUAUGUUCAUCUAGUAAUACUUUGUAUUCUGCUUGUAAUCAAACAUCGGAAGCAAGUUCAAAUAUAUUGCUUCCUAAAUUAAUUAAUUACUUUAAUCAUAAUAUGUCUACCAAUAAAAACAAUUAAAAAAAGUUCCGAAAAGAUUUUCAAAUUCUGGUGAAGGUAUGAACGACGAUGGGCAGUAAUUUUUGCAAUUGCAAAAAACUUACUUACACAUCCGAUUAGCACUGUAGCUUUGAAGUCUGUAGUUAGUGCACGUAAGAGGAUUUUGCCCGUGGACAGGAGCCAACUUAAAGAAGAUAUUUUGAAAGCAUUAAUGUGCGUGAAGAAUUGACAUGACACUCAUUUUCGACCACAAGAUAAGUAUGUUAAAAUUACAUGACAUCGGGUAAGUGAUAUUUAAUUUAAUAUAUUAAUCAAAAUUUGUUAUUUUAUAAUACUAUUUUCAAUUUUCUUUUAAAAAUUGUACAUUUUACAAGUUGUUCGUAUAUAAUUUCUAACUCUACAUACUCAAAAUUUAAGUCGUUUGUUCCAAAUCCGGAUAAAGGGGAAGAGUUUAUAUUUUAUCUAUUUAAAAAAAAUUCAUGAGCUCUCAAGCCCAAACUCGACUCGACCCACGAGCCGAGCUCAUCCCUCGAGUAACGAGCCCAACUUCUGCUCGACUCGUGGGUAGCAGCCCAUUGCUAUCCCUACAAAAUCCUAUUACUAAAAUUCCAUCGAACGAUUGAGGUCAAAAAUGGAAAGUUGUCAACAUAGUAUAUCGGAAGAUCAAACAAAAAGAAAAUCUACAGAGAGACAUGUAAGAGCAUAAAUCUUUGAUUCCCACAGUCAUAAUCUGAUUAACUAAAACCUAUCAGACAAUUGAAGUCCAAAAUUGAAAGUUGUCGACAUUGUGUAUAAGAAGAUCAAACAAGGAAAGAAUAUAUAGAGAACUCACCAGAGCAAAAUAACUUCAAUUCUCACCGACGAAAUCUUGUUGAUUGAAUUUAUGAUCAAUUUGGAGAACUCGAAUCGGAGAAAUCAAUGGCAUGUGAUCAGUUCUCUUAAAUUUGUGACCUUUAACCUAUGUACUAUGUACCAUGUACCAUGACAUGUGACAUGUAAAUUGUUAUAUGCAAUAUUGAUCCAAUGGUCUAUGACCGGUUCUAUUCUUAGCUAUUAAUUCUAAAUUAACUAACAUUCACGUUAAUUCAUUUAUUGUAUUUGUCAUUCGUCUUCAUUGAUGCAUUUAGUUGUAAUUCUAAUACUCACAUUUAAGUGCAUUUUACUAUUUACUUACAUGUAUAAUAAUUAGCCUUUUAUUUUCAAAUACUUGCAUUUCUCUCAUAGUUAGAUCAAAAUGGUGGAUGAAGAGUUAAAUAUUACUCACUGUACAAGUUAGAAACAUAAGUGCAAAAACUAUAUGCUUAGAGUGGUCUAAGAAGUUAGUUUUUCUAAAAUUGAUUCCCAGCCUCACUUUAUUUUGAUUGAAUCUGUUUAUUUUACUCGUAGACUAAUUUAUUCAUACAAUCACACGUUCCAAUCAACGAAUUCAUACAAGUUACAACAUACUAUAAAGAGAUACUAGUGGAUUCAAGAAUUACUCUUUAACAAUUUCAUUUAAAAUUUCCGUUCAACACCAAAUUAUUACAAGCUACUAAACUAGCAGCCCAUACAAGCAACUCGAGCUACUGCUCCGCAAAUAAGACAUACACAACAUAUGAAGCAACUUGUCGCAAAUAACACAUACACAAUAUAAGACACGACUUGACAGUACAACAUACGAGAGUUUUAACUCUUUUUUCCUUCUCUUGAUAUUACGACUACUGAUUAAUGAAAGAAGCCACUCUUUUCAGCAUAGCCUUCCCAUUUUCACUGUUAGGGAAAAGCACACUGAAUACAUGGUUCUCCCCUUUUACAUCCACAAUAUCUACCUCUCCAUCCCACCCACAUUUUGUCAAUGCUUCCUUGUAGUGAUAACCGCGUUCUUUAAGAAUAUCUUCUUCUGCAACAUAAAUAAGCACUUUUUUGCACCCCAGUUUUGAAAGAUUCAAAUCCAUGGAAGGAUUUAUCGAAGGGUCAUCUAAACCUGUAGCCUUUGGAAAAGAAAAAGCCCAUAAAUCAUCCACAUAACUCUUCUUAAAUACUAAGGAUGUCCCUUCCUUCCCAAUUGGAUCUUUACCCCAAAAAUAUGGACAGUUGAGAAAAAUUCCAUCUAGAUUGAUCCCAGGCAACUUCUCUUGACCAAAUCUUAUGGCCAUGUUGUGUGCUAUGUUGGCUCCAGCACUGUCUCCACCAAAGUAGACAUGAUUAAAAUCAGCAUUUUCUUGAACCCAUUGCUCAUGUCCUUCACCUGUGGAUUCAGAUGCCACACAUUUUAGUUCAAGCCAAGCAUCUUCAUAAGCAAGAGACAAUUUAAAGAAUCUUUCAGGGACUGCUUGGGGAGAUUUUUUAAAGUAACGGAUUUGAGCGUUUAUGAAUGGAUCGAUUUUGAGUGAUUUUAGUAGCAAUUUUAAAAACAGUCUACUCCACGAUUAGGAGUUUAUUAUCCAUCGAUUCUAGAAACAUUUUAAAAGAAUAAAAUUAAUAUAUAUCCAUUAGUGAAAUUUUCGGUUUAUAAUUUCUUGUAUGAAAUUUUUUUACUAAUAAGUGAUUUAAAAAGUUAUUUAUUUAAUUAAAAUUUUAAAUUAAUAUUUUUUACUUUUUAGUAAACUUUAUAAUUAUAAGUUAAUUUGUACUUCUAAAUAAUUUUUACACAUAAUUGAAUUUUUACCUAUAAGUAACUUCUUAUAUUUUAUGAGUGAAUUUUUUUCUUAUUAUUUUUUUUAAUUAAAGUUUUUUUUUUGCUUAUAAAUAAUUUUUCUUAGUAUAUUUUAUUUAAAUUUAGUUUUGAUCAAAAUCUGUUGAUUGAAAAUAAUUAUUUUAUAAAUGAUAAAAUUAGAAAAAUAUAAGAAACCGUAAAAAAAAAAAAAACCACCGAUUUUAUGGGUCAAGAGAACCGAUGAAAAUUACACUAUACUGAUCUAAAAUCGGUGCCAAAAAAUAUGAAUCCAAUCCUUCCCUAGAUAGGAUUUGUUGUUGACUCAAUUUUAAUAAAUAAAUUUGCUUUUUUUCUAAACUUUUAAUAUAUUAUACUCACCCGUGGACUGAGACGCCACCCACUUCAGUGCAAGCCAAGAAUCUUCAUAAGCAAUCGGAACAGGGUGCUCGGGGGCUAAUCGAUAGCCCACAGAAACUGCGACAACAUUGGCUUCGGCGACGAGUGAAUUCAGGUGGUUUUGGUACGUAGAAGAGGAGGGUGAUUCCGCCACAAAGCCACCACCGUGAAAAUAGACAAGAAGUGGAAGUUUCUGGCCGGGAUCGAUGUUUCCCGGGAGGUAAAGCCUAGCAGAUACAUCAUGUUCCGGUGAAAUCACGACGUCUUUGGACUGAACCCCAGUUUCUGAAUCUACUGAUGCAGGAACAAUAUCUAGUCCUACAAAUCUUUCGACUUUUCCAUCUUUGUAUACUCGGACCAUUGGAUGA
rnacentral:lncRNA from 1 species